UUUCAGGAAAAAGCCAAAAUAAACAAAGGAAGAAAAUAUUUUGCUUUAAAGGAAGGAUAAUAUUAAAUUCUUCCUUGCGUUUUUUCACAACUGGAUUUCUGCACAAAGUGCUUCACAGUUUAGGACCAUUCAGAGUGUCAAUAUGAAGAGCUGGAAUGUGCAAAAGCAUGGCCCUGCAAGCACUGAGGGGAUCUGAUGGAAAUACCACAAGCUCAGUCACUCCGCUCUCAUGGUUUUUGGUUUUGGAUUCUUUUAAUGAAGUUUACCAAGGAGCCACCUGGUGAAGAAUCACCUUGUAUUUCCACUGGGUUCUUGAGAUAGUACCAAUCCAAAGGCAUGGACAUCCAUGGGAGCAGCAAACUGCGAACACACUCAAUCACAAGUUGUUGGAUACAGCACAUCCUCAUCCCUAGAGCAGAUGAGAGAUUAGUGUGUUUGUUAACCUCAGUAUCUUUCCUGUUGAAUGAAAUGGGUGGAAAUCAGAAAGCCUUGUGUCCGUGGACAAGUCAGAUAAUGUGCAAGGAGGUGAUGCUAACACAGGGCUGUUUCUUCUGGGAGCCUUACCAGCCUAGUCCAUAAAAAUGGAGGCUGGGCAUUUCAAGAAAGGGCUCAUCAUGCACAGAAACAGAGAGAGGUACCUGCAUGAAUUCCAAAACAACAAAGCACAUUUGAAUCUGGCCUCUGGUGUGAGCAGAGGAGUUCAGAUCUGCCUGCCCUGCCUGCAGACAUGAGUCCUGAGUUGUUUGGGAGCAUCUAUCCCAAAAAUUCCCACCCAAUCAGCUCAACUACCUUAAAACCUAUUCACG
rnacentral:lncRNA from 1 species